CCCUUAGAUGUUCUGGGCUGCACGCGCGCUACACUGACGCACGCAACAGGUGCCUGCUCCGAGAGGACUGGGUAAUCAUUUGAGUGUGCGUCGUGAUGGGGAUAGAAUAUUGUAAUUAUUACUCUUCAACGAGGAAUUCCUAGUAAGCGCCAGUCAGCAGCUUGCGCUGAUUACGUCCCUGCCCUUUGUACACACCGCCCGUCGUUCCUACCGAUGGGUGAUCCGGUGAAUGAUUCGGACUUCAGCGGCUCCCCUGGGGUGCGCCGGAGAAAGUUUUGUGAACCUUAUCACUUGGAGGAAGGAGAAGUCGUAACA
rnacentral:rRNA from 1 species